UGCCUACAACAUACUUUUAAUUCACCAGAUCCCAUUAGAACUCUGCAGUGAAGUGUGCUUAGGCUAGAGUAGUAUUGUGAUGGGUGACCUCCCAUGAAGUCCUACUAUUUUACAUGC
rnacentral:rRNA from 1 species